UACGUAGGGAGCAAGCGUUAUCCGGAUUUAUUGGGUGUAAAGGGUGCGUAGACGGGAAGACAAGUUGGUUGUGAAAGCCCUCGGCUCAACUGAGGAACUGCAACCAGAACUAUCAUUCUUGAGUGCGGGAGAGGAAAGUGGAAUUCCUAGUGUAGCGGUGAAAUGCGUAGAUAUUAGGAGGAACACCAGUGGCGAAGGCGACUUUCUGGACCGUAACUGACGUUGAGGCACGAAAGUGUGGGGAGCAAACAGGAUUAGAUACCCUGGUAGUCCACACCGUAAACGAUGGAUACUAGGUGUAGGGAACGAUAUGUUUUCUGUGCCGAAAGCAAACGCAAUAAGUAUCCCACCUGGGGAGUACGGCCGCAAGGUUGAA
rnacentral:rRNA from 1 species